AACUAACGCUGGCGGCGUGCCUAACACAUGCAAGUCGUACGAGAAAGCCGGCUUCGGCUGGUGAGUAAAGUGGCGCACGGGUGAGUAACGCGUGGAUAAUCUGCCCUUAAGUGUGGAAUAACGUACCGAAAGGUGCGCUAAUACCGCAUAAUGCCUGGCAACACAAGUUGUCCGGCCAAAGAAGGCCUCUGUUUACAAGCUUUCGCUUCAGGAUGAGUCCGCGUGCCAUUAGCUUGUUGGUGGGGUAAUGGCCUACCAAGGCUGCGAUGGUUAGCUGGUCUGAGAGGAUGAUCAGCCACACUGGAACUGAGACACGGUCCAGACUCCUACGGGAGGCAGCAGUGAGGAAUAUUGCGCAAUGGGGGCAACCCUGACGCAGCAACGCCGCGUGAGUGAGGAAGGUUUUCGGACUGUAAAGCUCUGUCGAGCGGGAAGAAGUGUACCAUGGCUAAUAUCCAUGAUAUUUGACGGUACCGCUAGAGG
rnacentral:rRNA from 1 species